UAGGGAAUCUUCCACAAUGGACGCAAGUCUGAUGGAGCAACGCCGCGUGAGUGAAGAAGGUUUUCGGACCGUAAAGCUCUGUUGUUGGUGAAGAAGGAUAGAGGUAGUAACUGGCCUUUAUUUGACGGUAAUCAACCAGAAAGUCACGGCUAACUACGUGCCAGCAGCCGCGGUAAUACGUAGGUGGCAAGCGUUGUCCGGAUUUAUUGGGCGUAAAGCGAGCGCAGGCGGAAGAAUAAGUCUGAUGUGAAAGCCCUCGGCUUAACCGAGGAAUUGCAUCGGAAACUGUUUUCUUGAGUGCAGAAGAGGAGAGUAGAACUCCAUGUGUAGCGGUGGAAUGCGUAGAUAUAUGGAAGAAUACCAGUGGCGAAGGCGGCUCUCUGGUCUGCAACUGACGCUGAGGCUCGAAAGCAUGGGUAGCGAACAGGAUUAGAUACCCUGGUAGUCCAUGCCGUAAACGAUGAGUGCUAAGUGUUGGGAGGCUUCCGCCUCUCAGUGCUGCAGCUAACGCAUUAAGCACUCCGCCUGGGGGA
rnacentral:rRNA from 1 species